rnacentral:lncRNA from 1 species
AGCGCCAUGCUGUCUUGAUCAUUAUCCUUUUUUAUUCAGUCCCUCAGUUUUCUUCUUGUUCCCCCUUGUAGCUCGCUCUCAGCCCCCAUCGGCGCUGUAGGUUGUCAUGAUGACCCCCCUAGUUAGAAAAGAAAAUAACCUAUUGUCCCGAUUUUCUUCUGUACGUAUGCUGAUGAGAUCAGAACUUCUAGAGCAACUCAAAGUAUAUCUGACGAAGGCUAUAUAUGACUGACAAGAAACGCCUUUCAUACAGGCUUUCCUGUUCUCCUGUUUUGCUUCUGUGAGCGUCUUGAUGCUAACAGAGAUACUAAUCGGGACGCGUAAAAGUUAACUGAAAAUGUAAUUCUUGACGUGGAAACGUGUAAACUGAGUACGGGUUUUGAAUAAAGCUAGUGAGAGUGUAACUAAAUUUCGAGUAUUAUGUUGUAAGAAAGAUGUAGCACAUUAUUUUUCUUUAAAUACUAUGGCGUUUGAACAUAAACAGGAUGUUUUAUGUGCUUUAUCAUUAUAUAAUUGUGUAACUAUGAUAAAAGCAGCAUGCACUAUGGAAUGAAAACCUACUUUUUUUCGGUAGGUGGAAAUAUAACAAAUUAUGAAUGAGAUCACCUCCUACAUUAGUACAAAAUCAGUGGACCUCCUAUCAAUGGGAUUGCCAGCCCAAUCAACAUCAGCAUAUUCUAAGACCUUUGUGUAAUUAUGUUUCUUCUUUAGAAUGCCUCGUCCUAGACAUGACUUCAAAUAUCUUAAUAUACGGUCAACAAGCUCCAUGUGACCUUCGGUGGCAACAUGCAUAAAUUGACUCACAAAACUAGUGGCAUAUGAAAUGUUCGGUCGAGUUAUAGUUAGAUAAAUUAGCCGACCAACUGAUAUUUGAAACUGGCCAACAUCGUGAAUAGUAGUAUUUUUUAUCACUUUUUUCCUUAAGUCUGUAAGAGACUUAACAAGUUUGAUCCCCGGUUUUCCUAUUUCCUUUAACAGAUCAAAUGCAUAUUUUUUUUUGUGAGAGAAACAAGGAGUGUCGGACAGUGGCAAAACUUGGGAGGAGGAACACUUAGUGUCAAAAGUUAGGAAAGUGACACUUAAAGUGUCAAAAUUAGAGUAAAAUGGAUCAAUUAAAUGUCAAUAGCAAGAAAAAUCAACUAAAAUGUUGACGUGACGAUUUUCCAGUAGGGCAAGUGCAAAACGAUGUCGUUUUGCAUACUGACGUGGUUAGACAAGCGCAAAAAUGACAUCAUUUUACUAUUGAUGAGGAUAAAUAAGUAAUAUAAUAAUUAAUUAAAUUAAAUUUAAAAUGAAAUUAAAAAAUGGAGGAAGAAGAUGAACAAUUGUAGGUGACUGAGGGCUUAGCCCUUGUUGCCGUCGCCUCCUUGCCAUUGCCGGGAAGGGUCAACGACAAUGGGCCAGAGCUUGACGACCUCGGCAGACCCUCCUCCCAUCAUCGCCAGCCUUUCCCGCUGACGGUGGGGAGGCAAUGGUGGCGAGGGCUGAGCCCUCAGCUGCCUCCAACUGUUCAUCUUUUCUCUCUUUAAUUUUUAAAUUUCGUUUUAAAUUUAAUUUAAUUAAUUUUAAUAUUAAAAUUCAAAUUCGCUCCAUAGCGACGUCAUUUUUGCAUUUCUUUGUUGAGUUAGCUCUUUGGCAAGCCAUGUAGGCGAGCAAAAUUAUAAAAAAAAUUGUCAUGUAGGAUUUCCGACGGGUUUUGUUGGAGGUGACUUUCAACUAUUCCAUUUUUCAAAAAAAGUGAUACUUAAGUAUCACUUUUCUAAUUUUUGAUACUUAUGUGUCUUUUCAUAUUAAGUUUUGACACUUGUUUUGUUCUUUGCUGAGAAACAAGCCUUUACUAGAACAAGCAAUUUUAAUAACCCAAAUCCUCGAUGUCGAACUUCUCGUGCAAAUAUUUUUUGAGAGUUUUAAUCUCUUGUAAAUUAUCACCAGUGAGGACAAUGUCAUUAAUAUAAGAUUAAUACUACCACUAUUCGUUCAGAAUUUUUCUUAACAAAUAGAGAAUGGUUGGACUUACCCAUUUUAAAUCCAAAUGUCACAAGGGUUGUAUUCAACUUUCUGUACCAUGUUUGAGGUGACUCCUUGAGACUAUAGAUUGCCUUAUUGAGUUUAGUUUGUAAACAAAUCCUUGAUUUUCUAAAGGGUAACCCGGAGGGAGAUGGACACUUCUUCUUCAAGCUUUCCAUUACGAAACUUAACGUCCAUUUGAAAAAAAAACCAACCACAACUGAUUGCAACUGACAUGAGAACUCUGACAAUAUUUAUCUGCACUACAAAAGCAAAUACUUCUUUGUAGUCUAUUCCGUACGUUUGGGUGUAUCUCUUGGCCACCAAGCUAGUUUUAUGCCUUUCAAUGGAAUUGUCACUUCUGUACUUGUUUUCAGGGUUGGGAAUAAACAAGUCGUACCUUGAUUGGAAGUCUCUCCCAUUUCUAUAGUUCUUAUUAAUCACCAAAUCAUCAGAAACAAUCGGUAAUGGACCAAAUUCUAUAUUGAAUCUACUGUAAUCAUAAUUGUUAGUAUUAUUGCCACUAUUCUCCAUUUGAAUUUGAUCCCUUGAAGGAAAAUACAUAAGUUUCAUUAAACAUAACAUCUGGAAAAAUAAGCAAUUUUUGGGUAGAGGGAUACAAACAUUUAUAACUCUUUUAACAUUAGAAUAUCUAAAAAAUACGCUAUUGUGUGGACGAUGAACUAAUUUACUCCCUAAUGAAGUGUGAACAUAGCACACAUUAUCAAAUUCACAGAGAUGAGACGGAUUAAUCGAUUGGCUGACGAGUACUUUCGUACGUGAUUUGUUUUGCCACACCUUACUAGGAAGACGAUUGAUCAAAUAGCAACUUGUCAGAUUAGGAAACAAAAGGAAUUGAGUCACCUCAAGGACAUGAGGUUUUUCAUUCAAUAAAUGGUCCUAUUACAUAUGCAUCGCCAGUGCUACCAAAAGGUCUUGAUAUAGGAAACAAUAUGUAGUAGACUGUAGUGGCACUGUUUGCAAUGCACAGAGAGUAAGAUGCUUAAUUCAAACUGUGAAUAGUUUGGUCUUUAGAAGCUAAAAAAGGCUUCUGGUGGCAUCAAAUCAAACACAUACAUGCAUAGCAAUCAAAAGGCUUCCAUCUUUUUUCAUUUUCUUUUUUUUUUACGACUAAAGGUGUAUGUGCAAGUCUUGAAUCACAUACUUUCACUCAUACACAAAACACGCCUCGUCUAAAGAAAAACUCAAAGUGCAAAUGUAUAGGCAAUCUUGAGCUUGCAAGUAACAAAAGUAACCACCUCACUUUUUCUGCUGGUCACUUUGUGGCCAGAACAUUAGUCAUUUUGUGGCCAGAACAUUAGACCACUUCUUCUAGAUUCAGAUGUAGGCUCUCUACAACAGCGACCAAAUUGCACGAUGUCCAUAUUGGAAGUUCUGUGCAUUGUUUCGUGGUCAGAGAAACUCGAUUGGCACGAUAUGUUUUUAUCAAAAGCUCGCCAUUUCUCGUGAAGCCAUCAAAUCCUGUUACGUCUCCCCGAAACUUAAAAUAAUUCCGCCUAGUCCAAGACUUAGGCAUGCCAUACUCCCUCAUAACCCAAACAGAACAUAUGGGAUACCCCGAUAAAUCCUCUGUCCUGUUGAAGCUAAUGAACACAGCCAGCAAGUUAUCUAGUACUGCCAUAUACAUUUGUAAAUUGACAGUGUUUACCUGAGAAAUCUGUGAAAUCUGUAGUGGCAGAGCCAUUUCAUUAAUCACCUCAUCUGCAAGAUCGAACGAGACUAUCGAUCUGUAUCCAUCCUCCCCACAGAUCGUAGCAAACCAGUGCAGCUUCUGGUUGAAGAAAAUCGCAGGCUCAUCUUGGCGGAGAGUAGGAAACUUGGACUUCAAACUUCUCCAAGAAUCUGUCCGAAGUGAAUAAAUCUCGGCUAGAGCCUCUAUCCCAUCAUUAGCUGAAAAAUAGAGAAUCUUCACAAUCUUAUAGUCAUUCGACCUAGCAUCAUUCGACCUAGCAUCGAAUCCCAAACCUAGAACUUCAUAAACAGCAGCAUGACGUUGAUGCUCCAGGCCGGAUCGUGGAACCGCCUUGUGGUUCCCAGUGAAUGGAUUCCACAAAUACAUCGUCUGGCCAGAAUCAGCUUUGGAGAUUGCUUCGACGAAGAUCAAGCCAUCACACGAACCGACAAGACGGUAAGAGUUGGCAGGAGUAAAGAAGGGGAUUUCGAUUUGCAACAGGGAAUGGCGAGCGAGAGACUGGUCGGGAAUAUCGGGAAUCAGCGAGCAGAGGCGCUGCUCACGAUAUUCCCAAUCUAGGCACGCGAGAUACCUAUCGCGGGCAUCGAGAGGGAAGUGGCUCCAGUGUAGGGCCGCGAAAUGAGGGUCGUCGAUGGUGGAACGCCAUGAUCGGGAGACGCACCCGAAUCGGAGUAGAGAUCUCACCGGCAACCGCUUCAGGAUCUCGACGACGACGUCGUGAGGGAGCUCUUCCCGCCGCCGCCGCCGCCGCCGGAGGAGGAACUCACGAUGACGGUUCUUUUUUUUGGCUUUCAUGAUGAUGGUUUGCCAGAGAUUGAGAAGACGGGCGAAGGCGGAAAGCCGGAAAGCCGGUAAGCCGGAAAGAAUUUUGCUGCAAUCCCCCUUUUGCCCUCUCUUCUCUAUUCGUCACGUGACAACCACGUGACAUUGCACGAUGUCGUGUCAUUAUAUUUGGUAUCGGAACCCUGUUGACCUGACAACUAGACCAGGCUCUUUUCUUUUACCGUUUUCAUUAUAUUACAUUAAAAAUUACCAUUGUGUCAUAUAUGAGAUUAUAGUUUUUUUUUUUCUAUCCCAGGAUAAUGUACUGAAUAUAUUCAAUUUCAAUAAAUAUUUUCUAUUUCAAAUGAUGAACUUACUCCAAACAAUCCUUGAAAUCGUGGAGGAAGAUGAGUGAGAGAUAGAGAGUGAGAGAGAAGGGGGCGCAAGAGUGAAGCUAUUCAUUGAGAACACUCGAGACUAAACUAAUGAAAAAAAUUACGAUUAUCUAAUACUUUUACAUUAAUAGGUUAUUCGCAGAAAGUUGUUUACACUUAAACUAGAAUCAAUGCUAUACUGUAACUUCCGCGGGAGUAAUGAAUGGAAUUUCGAUUUGUGACUUGGAAAGCAUGGUAAGAGACUCCUUGGAAAACGAAGAGAACAUAUACUGCACCGGAUCAUUGCCGCAAUCCAUACACGCGAGCUAGCAAUUGGAGGCACCCGUCGCUCAUGAUGUUUGAGGGUUGAGAAGAAAAAUGAAGACGGACUGGUCAUAGAAAGCUUUCAUUGUUAUAGUGCUCAUCGCCCUAGGCAUUUCAUUUAGCCUUCACUUUUAAGGAAAAUGACACAAAUGAUUGAUGAAUUUAGAUUUAUUAUGUAAUGUUGUCCUUAAAAUUUUUAAUUUAUCCAAUGUGAUUCAUAAACUUCGUUUUAUUGAACAAUGUUGUCCAUGAUUUUUAUUUUAUUCAAUGUGAUCAUUAUAUAAAUUAACAAUUCGGGGACAACAUUACGCAAUAAAGCAAAAUGCCUGGAUCAUUGUGAUAUGAUUCCCUUCUUUUACUACAUAACAAACUCUAUGAGUAAUUAAGUAUCUUAACUAUUCAAUUUGAGGAGGUUUUGUAAUCAUCAGAGUUAAUUUAGGAUCCACGGUAAUAAUAUGCUGCUUGUUAACUUUCCGACGAGAUGAAAUGGCACGUCAAACGUCCAUCUCCCCAUUGCAAAAGACGUCCAGUUGGCAAGUCAUGCUAAUCGAGGCCAAUUAGCUUCUGCACGUACUUGGGCUGUUGGAGGAUAUCCUCCACCAAGCCUUUCUACCUGUGGCAAUUGCCACCGGAACCAUCCAAAACUAGCGUGAGAAAACAGAAAUUUCCCCUCCUCUCUACCGUGAAGCCCGGGAUCGCACUCUCAAAGGAUAACUUCUGUAUCUGAUUGGUCCGCGCUAUUAAUGAUCAACAUGUACUAUCUUUCGCCGCAGCGCCAUGCUGUCUUGAUCAUUAUCCUUUUUUAUUCANNNNNNNNNNNNNNNNNNNNNNNNNNNNNNNNNNNNNNNNNNNNNNNNNNNNNNNNNNNNNNNNNNNNNNNNNNNNNNNNNNNNNNNNNNNNNNNNNNNNCUUGUAGCUCGCUCUCAGCCCCCAUCGGCGCUGUAGGUUGUCAUGAUGACCCCCCUAGUUACAAAAGAAAAUAACCUAUUGUCCCGAUUUUCUUCUGUACGUAUGCUGAUGAGAUCAGAACUUCUAGAGCAACUCAAAGUAUAUCUGACGAAGGCUAUAUAUGACUGACAAGAAACGCCUUUCAUACAGGCUUUCCUGUUCUCCUGUUUUGCUUCUGUGAGCGUCUUGAUGCUAACAGAGAUACUAAUCGGGAUGCGUAAAAGUUAACUGAAAAUGUAAUUCUUGACGUGGAAACGUGUAAACUGAGUACGGGUUUUGAAUAAAGCUAGUGAGAGUGUAACUAAAUUUCGAGUAUUAUGUUGUAAGACAGAUGUAGCACAUUAUUUUUCUUUAAAUACUAUGGCGUUUGAACAUAAACAGGAUGUUUUAUGUGCUUUAUCAUUAUAUAAUUGUGUAACUAUGAUAAAAGCAGCAUGCACUAUGGAAUGAAAACC